UGAUCAGGAGCCACCUGUCCAUGCCCCAAGACCGGAAAGGCAGCAGCAACCACCGGGAGCACAGGGCUGUCCUCGGUGUGCUCUGCUGCGGAGAGACAGAGACCAACUUAAAGAGCGCCUAGCGGUCGUGGAGAGCGUCCUUAAAAAGUUGCACGCCCUUUGAAGUGAGAGAGUUGAACCCAGCAUCUUCCUACGAGACCGACAGCUGGUACCUCUGGAGCCGGCGAGCUGUGACCAGCCUGGUUCCCUUUGUUUCUUCUUCAGCCACGGCUUCUUCUAGCCCCCUGCUCUUGCCCUCACCUCACCCGA